rnacentral:rRNA from 1 species
UACGUAGGGGGCAAGCGUUGUCCGGAAUUAUUGGGCGUAAAGAGCGUGUAGGCGGCCAGAUAAGUCCGCUGUGAAAUCUCGAGGCUCAACUUCGAGCUGUCGGUGGAAACUAUCUGGCUAGAGUCCGGAAGAGGAGAAUGGAAUUCCUGGUGUAGCGGUGAAAUGCGCAGAUAUCAGGAGGAACACCGAUGGCGAAGGCAGGUCUCUGGGCAUUAACUGACGCUGAGGAGCGAAAGCAUGGGGAGCGAACAGG